rnacentral:lncRNA from 1 species
ACGAGAAGUUGAAAAGUAUAUUGUUAGGCAAGCACAAGUUGAACUCGCUGAGCUUCCCAGCCUUGAUCCAACUGCACUUUCCAAAAGAGCCCAAAUGAGUUAAUGAGGUUUAUUGUAAAGAUCCAAAUUGAUCACCUGUGUAAUUGCCUCCUCUGUGGGCAUUUGCCAUUUCAUUCUGUCAGUGAUAUUUAUGUAUGCAUGAUGAAGUGGCUAUAUUGGCUUGAUUUUGAUCAUCUGGAAACUGAAGUUCCCUCAAUUGGGGGAACUCUUGUUUUCAUAGCUAGCCUGACUGAAUAUGAUGACCCCGUUAAGAAACAUGCUUUUUGAAGAGGAAAUUUUUGUGUUUCUACAAAGACUCCUUGUAUUUGUUAUCGACUUCCUUGUUAAGUCUCUGCUACUUGUAACUUGAGAUUUUCGAGAAAAGAUAAAUAUGAAGCUGAGAUGUGCACAGGGUUCAAAUCUUUGUUAUGCUAGGAUCCUGCUAUGUGAGUCAAUUAUGAUAGCAACGGCUAAAAGCAAAGCAAUUAGUCAGAAACUUCUCUAGUCUAGUUGUGGGGAAAUAUCUAGGGCUUUAUGGAUGAUAAAACAAAUAAAAGUUGAGUUUAAUAGAUGAAAAGCGGGAAUGCAUUACAGAAUCAACUCUUAAAAUGUGCCCAGAAUUGACUGAUAUGAUGAAUUGCAUAUGCACCAUCUGGGUUCUAGGGAUUUAGUGAUGUCAUUCGAUCUUUAAUGUGCUUGUAGAUGCAUUGAUAUAUCUGAGCAAUUUUCUUUUUUAGUGGAAGCGAUGACUUUGGUGUAUUCAAUCUCAUUGUGAUGGCUCGCUGCAAAUUGCUUGUUUGUGAUAGCAACAUGGACCCUUCAUGUGUGAAGCAGAGUGAAUCCAUCUUGUUUCCAUGGGCUGCGGUGACAAUCUGAGUUGAUUUAAAAGCAGAUAGUUUCGUUAAUAGGUUGAUUGGGUGAUGUAACUGAUCAUUGUUGGCAUCAGGAGGAAGUCAACUGGCUCACCUUUCUGUUUGUAGAUAAUCUUGAUGGAUGUCCA